rnacentral:rRNA from 1 species
UACGUAGGGCGCAAGCGUUGUCCGGAAUUAUUGGGCGUAAAGAGCGUGUAGGCGGUUCGGUAAGUCUGCCGUGAAAACCUGGGGCCUCAACCCCGGGCGUGCGGUGGAUACUGCCGGGCUAGAGGGUGGUAGAGGCGAGUGGAAUUCCGGUGUAGCGGUGAAAUGCGUAGAUAUCGUAAGGAAGACCAGUGGCGAAGGCGGGUCGUCUGGACAGUUCCUGACGCUGAGGCACGAAGGCCAGGGGAGCAAACGGG